rnacentral:lncRNA from 1 species
ACACUGCCUACUAGACAUUCCUUUUUAAUUCACAAAGGAACCAAAAUGUUUUACUUUUCCCUUAUACUGAAGUUCUGACUACAAACACAUUUAAAUAGAGAAAUAUAGGUGAGUAUCAGUUAUAAAAGGCCCAACUUAAACCAUUAAUAAAAAUAUAUCCCAACAACCACUCUUUCUAUUCUAGCAGCUCCACAAAACUGACACCAGAAAGGCAGGAUCACUGAAAUUUAGAGCUACUUAACAUAAACAAACACAAAGUCCACACUUGGGUUAGGAGAUGUGGCUAAUUUUAGAUGAGUGUUUUACACGGGAUGAAAUGGAGCCUUGGACUUCUCACUGGUUUAAUGCAGCCCUCGUACCUACAUUUAGCCAACACCACUUCAAAGUUUUCUCAACUAUGGAAAACAAGUGGUAAGGUAGCUGAAAGAAGGAAUUCAUUUCUGCACUGUUAAGUUCUCACAGGCAAACUGUUCAGUCUGUCCCAGCUCCUGGACUGCACAGGCCCAGACAGAAUCAUGAGCUGAUGCAGAGAAGAUUUCAGCAUUCGGGAAUAUCUGAAGAGUCAGGCUUUGCAGUGCUUCCACUGAUCAGCAUCUGAGGCAAGUAUUCAUUCAAGAGAGGCUGUGAAAAUCCUCCUGAGCGGGCGGCAGAAAUUGAGAGGGCUCUUGGUGGUUACGAGCAACUCUGUUUGUCCCAUUCCUAGGAAAGCUCUGGAAUACUCCAUGCCUUGAAUGCAUAUAGAACACAGUCUCAGAUAUUAGAAACAAUUCAACUAUCAUGUUCAACUGCUACAAGGAUCCACGAUUCCAAGAGUCAGUGAGUUGCUCUCUCUCCCUUUAACACAGCUGUGAAGUCCACUGAAUAUCCAGCCAAGUGUACUUGUGAAUUUCUUCCCCUCUCAUGCCAGUGAGAGGACCUGGUUUCAGCCUAGUGGUAUGAUGUACUUGCUCAUCAGCUUUCAGGUUUAACAAGGGAAAACAAUCUACCCCUCAAAUUGUAGAAGCUUUCUUUCCAGGGGAACUAGACAAUCCUGAUGGCUCUCUCCAGUUACAUAGCAAUUAUAUAAUUGCUAAGCUUCUGCAGAAUCACUGGAACCAUUCUGCAGGCUUCUACCAACUACAGCUGCAGCACAAUGUUCCGAGAUGAUUGCAGGCUUUGAAUGGAUGGCCGGUCUCAAAUCUGAGCACAAAGGGACAUACAAUGGGAUUCCAUCUCAAGCACAAAGAUGCUCCUGCCUAAUGAAGCCCUUUCUCCUCCUCCCAGUCUGUGCAGUAAACUCUUUCCUUUGCCCGCCCUACAUGUGUGUGGAAUGUGGUUUACUCUGUUUAUGCUGACAGGUUCCAAAAGAGGCAGAAAAAUCAGCUGAAGUUUUGCCAUGGACCAUGCACAAGGCUAAUCCACGUAUCCUUUCAAGGCCUAACUUCCCUACCAUGAUAGCAGCUGGAGCUCUAAUUCACAGGUGCCUUCCAAAGCUUUUCAUUAGCAAUAGAAAUGAGAUGGUUUAGAAACUCAUUUCUUAAUCUGCAGGUAAGUAUUGGAACCUUUGUGCAGCAAACAUCUUUCAAGUAUCCCACAUUGUGCCACUGAACAAUUAUUUUUGGAGGAAUAAGUACAAUGUUAAGGCACAUUUGCAGUGUUAACGGGGAGAAUUUUCCCUUAGAGGACAUCGGCUCCCACCCCCCAGCCUCUGGCAUUUCCCAGUUCAAAAGAGAAACACUCAGCUGACAUGAG